rnacentral:rRNA from 1 species
AUUGAACGCUGGCGGCAUGCUUUACACAUGCAAGUCGAACGGCAGCACGGGUGCUUGCACCUGGUGGCGAGUGGCGGACGGGUGAGUAAUGCAUCGGAACGUGUCCUGAAGUGGGGGAUAACGCAUCGAAAGAUGUGCUAAUACCGCAUAUUCUCUGAGGAGGAAAGUAGGGGAUCGAAAGACCUUAUGCUUUUGGAGCGGCCGAUGUCUGAUUAGCUAGUUGGUAGGGUAAUGGCUUACCAAGGCGACGAUCAGUAGUUGGUCUGAGAGGACGACCAGCCACACUGGGACUGAGACACGGCCCAGACUCCUACGGGAGGCAGCAGUGGGAAUUUUGGACAAUGGGCGCAAGCCUGAUCCAGCAAUGCCGCGUGAGUGAAGAAGGCCUUCGGUUGUAAGCGUCUUUCAGUUGAGAAGAAAAAGUACGUAGACU